UUCUCUAAUUCAACGAGCAUGUUUUCUUUUUUUCUGGUUUCACUGAAUCUAUAGAAAAAAAGAUAAUUGUCUAAAAUUAUUCAGAGAUGGCAUGAACUUAUAAAACAUUCGUAUUUUUCGGCACGCGUCUGGCACGUUUUUCAAAAUUCCAAGAUAUUAGGUUGCAGUGAUGCUGUCUAA
ensembl:ncRNA T25C12.5 ncRNA